rnacentral:rRNA from 1 species
CGAGGUGGAAGUGUGGUGACACAUGGAGCUGACGAAUACUAAUCGAUCGAGGACUUAACCAAA